CUGACCAGACAGCAAAGCACCAUGGGUAGUGGAAUAGUAUUUCCUGUGCGUGGCCUCGCCAGCAAACAGCACCUGCAACGACUGUUAGAGAGGGGGGAAAAAAAAACAUCGGCUUAACCUCGAUCUUACAGUUACUGCCGCAAAGUAUACACAAAACGAUAACGUAUUAGAACGCCUGUUAAUCUUCUGACCAAUCACAGUCCAGAAUUCAACAUUCAAACACGAUGUCUAAGCGGUUAACUUCGAUUAGAUGUCUCAUGCUUUGUUUAAAUUUAAAACAGAGAUGCUCUCAAAACGAAUAUGACGGAAAACGAAUUCAGGGGCGGGGCUAACAUUUACGCUCGACCGCUUGAACCUAUCACAGGCUAAUAUGCUAAUUAUUCAAGGAUGACCAUGUGAUAACUGGAAGCCAAGAUGUAUGUUAGUAAACAGAACUGUGAUUGCUAUGGUAACACUGAAAUAUCUUUAUAUAAUAUAUAUAUAUAUAUAUAUUAUUAUAUAUCCUGGCUCUGUCGUAUCAUCGCGCUAAGUGCAGGCGUGUGUGAGGGGGCGUGUCAAAUUUGCAUGAUCAUGCAUAUUCAUAGCUCCUUGUUAAUGAUACAUGCUUCCUAGCUUCUUUUUAUUAAUGAGAGUAAGUGUAAAGAUAGUACGUAGGUCGCUUUUAGUCGUUUUUUUUUUUUUUUGGACAUCUUUGGGGAACAAAGAUAAACAAUAGAUAUUUGUGUGGUUUCAUUUUUUAUUUUUAGCUUAACUGAGUAAACUGUUUGAAAUCCAUGCGCCUAGAUGGAGGUGGAGGUUAUUUUCAGCACUGCACUUUAACAGAAGAAUACUGAUUUCUGUCUGUACCGCACAUUUUCCUGGAGGCGCAGGCUGUUCUUUCAAACCUGUAAUUGCCCGGUGCGAGGACGAAAAAAUAGAGUUGGGGGGGGGGGGGGGGGGCGAAAUCUGCCCUUGUUUCACCUUAUCAUCUAAGAGAGUCUACUGAUCCACGCUGAGUGUCCGUCUGAAAAGUCCUUCAACAAGCAGAACGUGAGCAGAAACGCGGAUUAGAAACGUCUUUGCGUCACUCACCGGAGCCUUGGAGCUCUUGGUGUAGGGCAGGGGUUGGGCUAGUCGCUCGACGUCUCCGCCGCUGGAGCCCACGCGGGUGAACGAGUACGAGCCCCUGAUGUAAGGAUUACUGCCCCACGACGAGCGCAGGAUCCGCCGAGGCUUUGGAAUGUUCUGGUUCCCUGCAUGAAACAACCGGGAAGAUGGGGUUCACGAAAGCAGCGCUGCAGAACUUGGCAUGCUGACGAGAUGGAAACAAAUUGGGAAGGGUUCCAUCCACACUGUCUCUGUAUCUUAUCCAUUAUUAACAGUUUAUCAUUUUUGGAAAAGAAGGCAUACUUUGCAGAACAAGAGAGUAAACGUUACGUAAAUGUCGCUAUGGUGAUUUGGCGGGAUGGUGCUUCGUUUUGAACAGAUGCCAGUGUAGAAUCAUGGAUGAGGAAAGAACCAGAGUGCUUGCUUGCUUAAUGAAUGAAAAGGGAGACAGAAGGGUAAUCAAGAAACUGUCGACUCUAUCUAUUUAUUUAUUUAUUAAUUUGUGCUUUAUUCGCAAAAAUGAAAGAAAGAAAUACAAACAGGACGAGAACUACUGGCGCAAAGAACCUGAUCUGGUAGGGGAAAAAAUGAGCAGGUAGAUCCUGGUCGAUUUUCUUUCUUUCUUUCUUUCUUUCUUCCUUUCUUGUUUAUCUUAUUAAUAUUAUUUUAUUUCUCGCAUUUUACUGUUAUUGUUAAACACCAGUACACCAAGACAAAUCCCUUGUAUAUGGUAACCCACGAUACUUGGCAAUAAAGGUGAUUCUGAUUCUGA